UACGGAGGAUCCGAGCGUUAUCCGGAUUUAUUGGGUUUAAAGGGUGCGUAGGCGGGCUUAUAAGUCAGCGGUGAAAUUUUGCGGCUCAACCGUAACACUGCCGUUGAAACUGUAUGUCUUGAAUUUAGUUGAAGUGGGCGGAAUGUGUUGUGUAGCGGUGAAAUGCUUAGAUAUAACACGGAACACCGAUUGCGAAGGCA
rnacentral:rRNA from 1 species